CAACGCUGGCGCGUGCUUAACACAUGCAAGUCGAGCGAUGAAGCACCUUCGGGUGUGAAUUAGCGGCGAACGGGUGAGGAACACGUGAGAAAUCUGCCUUCAACACUGGGAUAACUCCGGGAAACGGUGUCUAAUACCGGAUGGUCCCGCAAGGGUAAAGUUUUUCGGUUCGAGAGGAUCCUGCGUCCUAUCAGCUAGUUGGUGAGGUAAUGGCUCACCAAGGCUAUGACGGGUAGCUGGUCUGAGAGGAUGAUCAGCCGCGAUGGAACUGAGACACGGUCCAUACUCCUACGGGAGGCAGCAGUAGGGAAUCUUCCGCAAUGGACGAAAGUCUGACGGAGCAAUACCGCGUGGUCGAUGAAGCCCCUUGGGGUGUAAAGACCUUUUCUGAGAGAAGAAUUAUGACGGUAUCUUAGGAAUAAGCACCGGCUAACUCUGUG
rnacentral:rRNA from 1 species